AUGAACGCUAGCGGCAGGCUUAACACAUGCAAGUCGAGGGGCAGCGGGAGUAGCAAUACUUGCCGGCGACCGGCGCAAGGGUGCGUAACGCGUGAGCAACAUGCCCGUAUCAGGGGGAUAAUCCAGGGAAACUUGGUCUAAUACCCCAUAGUAAUCUUAGGAGGCAUCUUUUAAGAUUUAAAGCUUUGGUGGAUACGGAUUGGCUCGCGUGACAUUAGCUAGAUGGUAGGGUAACGGCCUACCAUGGCUACGAUGUCUAGGGGUUCUGAGAGGAAGAUCCCCCACACUGGAACUGAGACACGGUCCAGACUCCUACGGGAGGCAGCAGUGAGGAAUAUUGGACAAUGGAUGGAAAUCUGAUCCAGCCAUGCCGCGUGCAGGAAGACUGCCCUAUGGGUUGUAAACUGCUUUUGUAUGGGAGCAAUAAGCCCUUCGUGAAGGGUGAUGAGAGUACCAUACGAAUAAGCAUCGGCUAACUCCGUG
rnacentral:rRNA from 1 species